rnacentral:tRNA from 1 species
AAAAUAUGAAAUCCAAGGAAAAGCUUCUAACUUAUUCCUUUAGCAGUGAAACUCUGUUAAUAUUUUU